rnacentral:rRNA from 1 species
AUUGAACGCUAGCGGGAUGCUUUACACAUGCAAGUCGAACGAGUGGCGGACGGGUGAGUAAUAUCUCGGAACGUGCCCAGUAGCGGGGGAUAACUACUCGAAAGCGUGGCUAAUACCGCAUACUAUUGGAGUGGCCGAUAUCGGAUUAGCUAGUUGGUGGGGUAAAGGCUCACCAAGGCAACGAUCCGUAGCUGGUUUGAGAGGAGGACCAGCCACACUGGGACUGAGACACGGCCCAGACUCCUACGGCAGGCAGCAGUGGGGAAUUUUGGACAAUGGGCGAAACCCUGAUCCAGCCAUCCCGCGUGUAUGAGAAGGCCUUCGGGUUGUAAAGUACUUUUGUCAGAGAAGCGUUAUCUGCAGAAGAAGCACCGGCUAACUACGUGCCAGCAGCCGCGGUAAUUC